AUCUCUUGAGGCCAGGAGUUUGAGACCAGCUGGAGCAACAUAUUGAGAAUUCUGUCUCUACAAAUAAUAAAAUAAGUUGGAUGCGGUGGCAUGUGCCUGUUGUCCUAGCUAUUUGGAAGGCUGAGGCAUGAUCUCUUGAGUCCAGGAGUUUGAGGCUGCAGUGAGCUAUGCAGCCUCUGCACUCCAGCCUGGGUGGCAGAGCAAGACCCUGUUUCUGGGAAAAAAAAAGUAUUACUACAUAGUUAUCCUUCUAACUUUACACAUGGAAUCUGUUUGGACUGUUUAAUUUUAGGCUUGUCUGGAGCGGGAAAGACUACUGUGAGCAUGGCCUUGGAGGAGUACCUGGUUUGUCAUGGUAUUCCAUGCUACACUCUGGAUGGUGACAAUAUUCGUCAAGGUCUCAAUAAAAAUCUUGGCUUUAGUCCUGAAGACAGAGAAGAGAAUGUUCGACGCAUCGCAGAAGUUGCUAAACUGUUUGCAGAUGCUGGCUUAGUGUGCAUCACAAGUUUCAUAUCACCUUACACUCAGGAUCGCAACAAUGCAAGGCAAAUUCAUGAAGGUGCAAGUUUACCGUUUU
rnacentral:sRNA from 1 species